rnacentral:rRNA from 1 species
UACAUGCAAGUCGAACGGUAACAGAGCUAGCAAUAGCUGCUGACGAGUGGCGGAUGGGUGCGUAACGCGUAUGCAACCUACCUGUAAUUGGAACAUAACGUUGAGAAAUUAGCGCUAAUAUUCCAUGUGGAUAUGAGACGGCAUCGUUUUAUAUUUAAAGAUUUAUUGAUUACAGAUGGGCAUGCGUAUCAUUAGCUAGUUGGUAAGGUAACGGCUCACCAAGGCAACGAUGAUUAGGGGUUCUGAGAGGAUAUCCCCCCACACUGGAACUGAGACACGGUCCAGACUCCUACGGGAGGCAGCAGUAGGGAAUAUUGGGCAAUGGAGGCAACUCUGACCCAGCCAUGCCGCGUGAAGGAAUACAGCCCUACGGGUUUUAAACUUCUUUUAUUAUAGAGUAACCGGAGGUACGUGUACCUCCCUGCAAGUAUAUAAUGAAUAAGGUUCGGCUAACUCCGU